rnacentral:rRNA from 1 species
CGGACGGUAAGUAACACGUGGGUAACCUACCUAUAAGACUGGGAUAACUUCGGGAAACCGGAGCUAAUACCGGAUAAUAUUUCGAACCGCAUGGUUCGAUAGUGAAAGAUGGUUUUGCUAUCACUUAUAGAUGGACCCGCGCCGUAUUAGCUAGUUGGUAAGGUAACGGCUUACCAAGGCGACGAUACGUAGCCGACCUGAGAGGGUGAUCGGCCACACUGGAACUGAGACACGGUCCAGACUCCUACGGGAGGCAGCAGGC